CCUCGCCUCCCUUCCUCUUCGUGGCCAGCCCCCACCACCGGCGGCGCCCCUUCCACGGCUCCAUGCAACCCCGUCCCCUAUCCCCGUCAGCCCAUGGUAGAGAGGCACACGAUGGUGGCCGAUGCAGGUCCUGCGGAGCUCCGAGCCCGGCGUGGAGGCAGCGCCCAGGUGAUGCCCGGAAUAGCACCGCGCCGCACCGAGAUGCUGCCGCAGUCGAUGGAUUCGGGGGUGGGAUCGAUGGAUCCGAGCUGCUACCACGCAUGGACGGAGCCAUGGUGGUCGAGCAGGUUCCCGAUUUGAUUGCCAUGGACCCGAUUCGACCGUAGCGGUGAUGGGGGUGGAGUCCCGGAGGAGGGGCGUGCUGCACGGGCCGCGGCGGUGUCUAACGAGUGGGUGAGGUGCCUGACUGGUUGAGUGCCGGACAGGCUGUGGCUGCUGCGCGCGCCGCCAUGCAGCGCUCCUCCCAUGGCGAGCUGAUGCGGCACCCGGCGCUCAUGGAUCCAGCCACGGCACUACUCUCUGUGAGCGCCUCAGCGCCUUCAUCCGGCUUCAAUUCGUGCGCUCUGCAUCAAGCUCGUCUGCAACCUUGUGCUCCUCCCGACGCUUGUGCUCCCAUGGCAGCAAGGAUGGUCCUUUUUUGAAAGUUACAAAGAAGCUAGAGUCGGCAGUACUUCAGGAGGAGCUUGAAAAGAUUGAAGGCGCAGACACAGGAAUUUGAUGCGAAAGUGGAAAAACAAGCUGAGGAGAUUGAGAGCCUGAGGAAGAUGGCAGCAGAUACUACUCAGAGUCUCCUUCGACAAAUGAUAGCAUUCUGGAACUCUUUUGUAUGGGUUGGAAAAUUAAUUAUGGCUGGAAUGUAUGAUUUGUUAUGGCUGGAAUGUGAUUACAAUGUAAUAUGGGCUACAAUUGUAUUGUUGGUCUAUAAUAAAAAAUAUUACAAGCAAAUUUGUAGCUGGGUCAAAGAAAAAUAUUGGGCCAAUUGGCCUAACUGUAAUUGUAUAUGAAAAAAGCCCAUUGUCAUAUGGGCUGAAUAUGAAUUGUCAUGUCAUUUGUCA